GAAUAGUCCUUUAAAAAGGCCGAAUUAUGUUCCCCAGAAGACCUCCCUCCUCUUUUAGUCUUUUAGGGUUACAGUAUGUCCCAUGCGGCGCAAACAAUCAAAGAGGGAGUUCAAACCUCACAGUGUUGAGCAGGGUCUUAUUUAAUG